CUACGGGUGGCUCCAGUGAGGAAUUUUGCGCAAUGGGCGAAAGCCUGACGCAGCGACGCCGCGUGGGGGAUGAAGGCCUUCGGGUUGUAAACCCCUUUCGUGAGGAAAAAAGUCCCGAGCAAUCGGGAUGAUGGUACCUCAGGAAGAAGCCACGGCUAACUCUGUGCCAGCAGCCGCGGUAAGACAGAGGUGGCAAGCGUUGUUCGGAAUUACUGGGCUUAAAGGGCGCGUAGGCGUUCCAAUAAGUCAGAUGUGGAAUCCUUAGGCUUAACCUAAGAAUUGCAUUUGAAACUGUUGGGAUUGAGUAAGGCUGGGGAGGGCAGAAUUCCUGGUGUAGCGGUGAAAUGCGUAGAUAUCAGGAGGAAGGCCAGUGGCGAAGGUGGCCCUCUAGGCCUUAACUGACGCUGAGGCGCGAAAGCGUGGGUAGCAAACAGGAUUAGAUACCCUUGUAGUC
rnacentral:rRNA from 1 species